rnacentral:lncRNA from 1 species
CGCGGGGGAUGUGUUUGGCAUGGGGACGCACUGUUACAGUUGCGCUCCUGGUUGGCUUUGUGUUUCCGCGGUGUUGGUAGAGUCUCGGUGUUUCUACCUCUUAGCACCCUUUCCUGCCACCCUUUGUCCUGUGGAAGCCCGGAGACAUCAGCGGCUGCAAUUUUGCUACUCGCUGCUCGGCAUGGAACGGUCAGGACAAAAAAUAAUAUCCAAAGAUAUUUUGGCACUAACAGCGCUAUCUGUAGCAAGAAAGUUGAGCAGUGUGAACUGUUGAGACUUCCAAGAAGACUUCAGAGAACCAAGACAGUGUAAAGGAAAACAGGAAAAAAGACUUGUUAGACAUUAUUAAGGGCACGAAAGUUGAAUUGAGCACAGUAAAUGUACAAACAACAAAGCCACCCAACAGAAGUCCACUUAAAAGCUACAACUGGCCCGCCUCAAAGAGCUACAGAGCAUGCUCCAAAGAAGAGAAAUGAGCCCGUGAGUCCUGAGUUGGUGGCAGCUGCAUCUGCUGCUCUGUUUUGACAAGCAAACAAGCCAGAACUGCUCAGGCAGCUCCGUAGCAUGAGGAAGAGUCAGGGGCACAGAGAGAUGGAGAGAGACCUAGUUAGAGAGCGAACCAUGUGCUGGAUUUAGCCAGUCCUGCAUUUUUCUAUACUUCAAAUCAAAACGGGCCAUGCUUCACAUCUACCCAUGAUGAAUAGGGGUACUUUGAUUAAGAAUAAAUAGAGCUGACUGAAUUCUGAACAAGAAAAACAUAUUCAAGGGGAAGAGAUGUAAUAGUUUUGACGUGACGACAGUUACUAAAGAAGCACCUGAACAGACACAUCACCUUCACUUUGGGAUGUGGAAUUUGCUAAAUAAGCCACAGAAAAUGAACAUCCCUUCAGAAUGGGUUUGAAGAGCUGAUCCAGUGGAUUAAAGAGGGGAAACUGGGAGUUUCCAAUUAACAAUGAAGCAGGAGCUGACUAAGGCUUUGGAACAGAAACCAGAUGAUGCACAAUAUUAUUGUCAAAGAGCUUAUUGUCACAUUCUUCUUGGGAGUUACUAUGUUGCUGUUGCCGACACAAAGAAGUCUUAUGAACUCAAUCCAAAUAAUUCCACUGCUAUGCUGAGAAAAGGGUAUUCAAUAGCUAC